rnacentral:rRNA from 1 species
CCUACGGGUGGCAGCAGUGAGGAAUAUUGGUCAAUGGACGAGAGUCUGAACCAGCCAAGUAGCGUGAAGGAUGACUGCCCUAUGGGUUGUAAACUUCUUUUAUAUGGGAAUAAAAUGUUCCACGUGUGGGAUUUUGUAUGUACCAUAUGAAUAAGGAUCGGCUAACUCCGUGCCAGCAGCCGCGGUAAUACGGAGGAUCCGAGCGUUAUCCGGAUUUAUUGGGUUUAAAGGGAGCGUAGGUGGAUUGUUAAGUCAGUUGUGAAAGUUUGCGGCGCAACCGUAAAAUUGCAGUUGAAACUGGCAGUCUUGAGUACAGUAGAGGUGGGCGGAAUUCGGAGUGUAGCGGUGAAAGGCUUAGAUAUCACGAAGAACUCCGAUUGCGAAGGCAGCUCACUGGACUGCAACUGACACUGAGGCUCGAAAGUGUGGGUAUCAAACAGGAUUAGAUACCCGAGUAGUC